UACGUAGGGGGCAAGCGUUGUCCGGAUUUAUUGGGCGUAAAGAGCGUGUAGGCGGCUUGGUAAGUCCGCUGUGAAAGUCCAGGGCUCAACCCUGGAAUGCCGGUGGAAACUGUCAAGCUUGAGUCCGGAAGAGGCGAGUGGAAUUCCUGGUGUAGCGGUGAAAUGCGCAGAUAUCAGGAGGAACACCAAUGGCGAAGGCAGCGCGCUGGGACGGUACUGACGCUGAGACGCGAAAGCGUGGGGAGCAAACAGG
rnacentral:rRNA from 1 species